rnacentral:rRNA from 1 species
UACAGAGACUGCAAGCGUUAUUCGGAUUCACUGGGCGUAAAGGGUGCGCAGGCGGCCGUGUGUGUGAGGCGUGAAAGCCCGGGGCUUAACCCCGGAAUUGCACCUCAAACUACAUGGCUAGAGCAUUGGAGAGGGUAGCGGAAUUCACGGUGUAGCAGUGAGAUGCGUAGAUAUCGUGAGGAACACCAGUGGCGAAGGCGGCCUCUGGACCAGUACUGACGCUCAUGCACGAAAGCGUGGGGAGCAAACAGG